GUGCUUACUUCAGCAACACAUAUACUAAAAUUGGGACAAUACAGAAAAGAUUAGCAUGUACUCUGCACAAGGAUGACCCACAAAUUCACGAAAUAUUCCACUAAAAA